GGCUCACAUGGGUAGAGUUGUUGAUUUUUUGGAGCUUAAACAGAUAAUUAUUGAAUUUGUGUUUAAAUCGCCCCUUCAUUUGAUUCUAACAUCGUGUGCAACAUAGAAGGGUCUUCUAUAUACCUUCCCUGUUUCAGGUGAGUUUAGUAUGAAUGAAAAAACCACAGCUGGAGGAGAGAUUCAGUUGAUUGAUCUUUCUAAUCUGUUGCAGUUGUUCUUCACAUCAGGUGCGUGCUUGCGUUCGAACCACCACAUUUCCCCAUAAUCACGGCCCCAAAAAGUAAUUUAUACCUCCGUUUUAGUUGCUGUUUUCAUUUCAAUCGUUGUCCCCUUGGUGGUUUUUUUUCCGCAGAUGUGAAAUUUGGGACGUAUGUUGCGCUGUUGUAUCUAUUGAGUUUACAUGCACACCAGGUGUUUGAUUUAAUGCCUCAAUGAAAGAUGCCUCUUUUUGUUUC
rnacentral:lncRNA from 1 species